GCCGGGUAAAGGUGUCUGAUUUUGAUGCUCAUCAGUCCCCAGAAAAGGUGUCAGUUUAUGUAGACAGAGGGGAUGACGGCCAUGGAAUCUGGAAUCCUCUAAGGAAUGUGUAACAGCUCACCAGUUGAAUGAACUAGCCCUGAAAAUGGAUGCCAUUGGAGUGCUGAGCCCAUACCUGGC